rnacentral:rRNA from 1 species
GACGAACGCUGGCGGCGUGCUUAACACAUGCAAGUCGAACGGAGAGGCCCUGCUUUUGUGGGGUGCUCGGGUGGCGAACGGGUGGGUAACACGUGAGUAGCCUGCCCUUGACUUUGGGAUAACUUAGCGAAACUGGGGCUAAUCCAGGAUAGGAGCUCCUGCGGCAUGGUGGGGGUUGGAAAGGUUCGGAGGUUGGGGCUGGACGCGCGGGUUAUCAGCUUGUUGGUGGGGUAGUGGCUUACAAAGGCUUUGACGGGUAGCCGGCCUGAGAGGGUGACCGGCCACAUUGGGACUGAGACACGGCCCAGACUCCUACGGGAGUCAGCAGUGGGGAAUAUUGUGCAAUGGGCGGAAGCCGGAUGCAGCAGCGCCGCGUGCGGUAUGACGGCCUUCGGGUUGUAAACCGCUUUCGCCUGUGACGAAGCGGGAGUGACGGUAAUGGGUAAAGAAGCACCGGCUAACUACGUG